GGGGUCCCGCCGGGGCACCCGGCUCCUUGUCGCUGCGCCCGUGUGGUGUGAGGGAGGCGGAGCAGCCCCGGCCGGCCCUCAAGCCGAGCCCUGAAGGAGCCCUUGCGGAUGGAGAUGCCGGAUUCCAAGGAAUUAAUGUAUAGAAGAAUUCUGGAGAACCGAAUAUCAGCUUGUCACCGAAAUGUGACCUCUAAAGAAGUUUCUGGGGAAAAUAAACCCUUUUUUGAUUUCA